GUGGAGUACUCCUAGACCUUCUCUUUGAGGGAGGAUGUUUUAUAACUUGAGGUUUACAAGAUGUCUUGAAAGAAAGAUCAAAGUCUGUUAGUACGACAUGCCCAUCAGCCUGAAGUAGGAUAUUUUCUGGUUUCAGAUCCCGGUAUAUUAUUCCCAAACAAUGGAGAUACUCCAAGCCAAUUAGGACCUCUGCUGCAUAAAACCUUGCGGAUUCCUCUUUAAAUAUUUUCAUAGGCUGUCUGUCAAGCAAAGCAAAUAAUUCUCCUCCAGGACAGAAGUCUGUUAUUAGGCAAACAUGUGUUUCUGUCUGGAAUGAUGAAUAUAGUGUUGGAAGGAGAGGAUGAUCUAAAAGAGCUAUGACUUCCCUUUCAACACAUGCUCGAUGUACCUUAUUACGGUUGAGCAUUAUGGAUUUGUCCAUCGCCUUCAUAGCAAAAAGAUCUCCUGUACCUUUCAGUUCCACCAA
rnacentral:misc_RNA from 1 species